ensembl:snoRNA
CAAGGCCCUGAUCGAAGCUGUCCUGUUCAUCUAUAGCAGGUACUGGUCAAACAGGAGCCAAUAGCAACACUUUUACCGACGGUCGCUGUACAGUUUGCUUGUAGCUGUCCCAGCAACAUUAAGGAAAAGGACAACU